CCUUGAUUUCACAGUCAGGUGAUUCAGUCAGGGGUUCUCCUUUUAGCUUCCAAUUGCCAUGGACACCUUCCUCAGAUAUUUCAAUAUCAAAACGGGCAGUCUCUGUCUCAAUCACCUCCACACUGUAUAAUGGACGUAUGAUUUCAAUAUCUCUGUCUUCAAUAUUGAGGUUAGCAGAGGUUUGAUCAGUACCACAAUCACAAGUAUAUUGUCCAAUGUCUUUCUUCAAAGCUUUCUUGAGUAUAAGUAUUCUCUUUUUACCAUCAGCCUUAAUAACAACAUUCUUUGAUGGAGUAAUUGGUUUGCCAUCCUUCAUCC
rnacentral:lncRNA from 1 species